GCCUGGCCGCGGGGCGGGGGCAGGCCGGCCGGGGCAGAAUUAGCCCCGCAUCGCUUGCGGGCCUGGCUGCUGCUGUUUCCCCUCCAGGGCUGAGAAAGCUCUAACUCUCCCCCCCCUGCUUGAAACAGGAAAACACUUGUCCAGCUUUAGGAUUCGUUCCCAGUGUAGACAAGGCCUUCCCAACCCUUGAGCCGCAGGAAUGGCGGGCGGGGUCACCGACCAACUUUAGAAAAGGAUUCUCUUUUUAAAGGAGAAAAACGUGGGAAACGGCGGCUUUUUCCCUGCAGGUUGGCAGAGCUCGGGUCUGCGAGGGCGCCACUGGGCCGAGCGAGGGGCACGGGUGGGGGCUGGCACUGAUGUUUACAAGGGGCCCUGGUACAAGAGGGCUGAGAGUCACCGCUGCUUUAGAGGAAGCUGCCCCUGAAGCUCUCCGCAGCCACCGAUGGAAAUCAAGCUAUAAACAACGGUGUCUAAGACAGCUUCAGCUAUAAGCAAGUGUCCCCAAAGAUGUCAAGGACCACGGCUUUAAUGGCUUUCCAUUAAGGAAACCAGAAGCGAGGAGGCAGGCACUGUGAUCCAUCUAAAAGAAAUGUACAUCUUUUGUGGGGUGGAAACAGCGAAUUCAUUUCUUGAAUGGCCUGAUACUCCCUUGCUUACAUAUGAUUAUCAGGACUGUCAAUGCUUCCAAAUUUGGAAGGCAAGAAAAAGUGAAUUCACAAGUAACAUACCAGCCCUACUGAAUGCUCAUCUGUACUUGAAAGCUUCAGCACUUGAGGUGACUACAUAGCUGGCACAGUGACACUUCAGCUCCUCAGUGAUCUCACUUUGCUUGGAGCAGGUCAACCUGACACAAAGAUUAAAAUACUGGUAAAUACUACAGUCUGUCUAUGCCAGUGAUUCUCAACCAGAGUGCAGUGGCACCCUGGGGUGCAGUGAAAAGGAGCCACAGGCUUAUGUCACUUUUGUGGCUAUAGGGGUGGCAUGGAGGCCACAGGGAUGGCACCCAG
ensembl:lncRNA